UUUCACCAACUAUGUAACCUGUCUACCCUGUUUCAAUAUAUUUAAAUAUGUUGCCAAUUUACCAAGAUCAGUUUAAUUUCUUUAACGAAUGUGGUAGUUACUUUGUUAUCAUGUGUGAGUGAAAUAAUUGAAGGCCAGUCUUCUUGAACUACUAUAAGAAGCCUUGGACAGAACAAUCCUUUUAUGGUUUAUCCUGAUUAACUUACUAGGGGUCUUAUUUAACAGCACUAGUUAAUUAUUUAUGUGAAGAAAUUGAUUACAUGAUGCCAUUAAUGAGUUUUGGGACGACUAAUCAAAUGGCAGCAUGACCCUGAAACAUGUUUGUGUAUCCGAUAUUUUCUUAGGAGUAUUGUGAAGGGCAGUCAGUGGUAGAACUAAAUCGCAUAAAUCAUGUAGUUUUCUACUUUUGAGAGGAAAAUCACAAAAAUUGCAUCGUUGAAGAAUUUCAGUUUGCUCUUUGUUGGUCUUUUGUUGGUGGGUGGCUGUUUUUCAAGUUUCUUUGGUAGUUUUGUAGGAGUCUUUGAUUUCAGUAGCUGAAGAAGGUUUGUUUGUCAAAGUUGUUUCAAAGUUUAUCUCUAUUUGGUGGGUCAGGCGGGUUGUCCAGUGAGAUUUGUUGAGGUGCAAGUAAGCUGGUCCGGACACUCAUGGAUAUUAAAAAAAAAAAAAA